ACCGUAUUUUCACUUGAUAUAUAAAUCUAACUGAAAUUGACAUUCCUAUAUCUCUAUUGCAGAACCGGGUGAUAUUCUCAAGUGCCCUUAUUGCAAUGCUUUAGUUUGGCAUUCAGAAAAAACUGGCACAGAUCCAGUGACUGGGAAUCUAUUGUACACAAUAUGUUGCCAGCAAGGUCGUGUUAAACUAGAACAUUACGAGAUUUGCUGUCCAUUAAAAAAAAGAAGCUAGAGACCAACCUUUUGGAGGCAAGACUGUACUACUAGGUGGCGACUUCAGACAAACACUACCAGUCAUUCUACAAGGUACUCGAGCCGACACGGUCUCAGCAUCAAUUAGACGAUCGUACUUAUGGGACUCUUGCCAAGUCUUUGUUCUUAAACAAAACAUGAGACUUGAAGAAUCACAAGGAAGAUUUGCUUCAUGGGUACUAAGUGUUGGAGAUGGAAGUGCAUCCACAAGUGAAGCAAAAGCUGUAAACGAAGAUGAUGGUCAGAUGGUUAAAAUUGAUCCCGAAUUCCUUAUGCAAUCAACAGGAGAUCAUAUGCAUGAUAUAUUUCAAGCCACAAAUGCAGAGAACAGUCCAUCAAAAAGUACACAUGCAAGCAUUAAAGAAACAGCUAUCCUAACCCCACGAAAUGAUACAGUUAAAAAGAUUAAUGCAUACAUGUUAGCAAAACUGCCAGGAACAUCAAAGGAAUAUUUCAGCUCAGACAGCAUAGGAAAAGCUGACACAAUAUCUACAGAUCACGAGACACUAUAUACAGUUGAGUACUUAAACUCUCUUGAGUUCUCAGGACUACCACAACAUAAGUUGGUUUUGAAAGUUGGAGUCCCAAUAAUGCUGCUACGCAACAUUAAUCAAAAAGAAGGUCUGUGCAAUGGUACAAGAUUAAUUGUAACUCGAUUGGGACAUAGAUUGAUUGAAGGCGAAAUAGUUACAGGCACACAUGCUGGAAAAAGAGUUAUUAUACCACGGAUAAUUUUGUCACCGCCUGAAUCAAAGCAUCCUU
rnacentral:lncRNA from 1 species